rnacentral:rRNA from 1 species
GUGACGAGCGGCGGACGGGUGAGUAACGCGUAGGAAUCUACCGAGUAGUGGGGGAUAGCCCGGGGAAACCCGGAUUAAUACCGCAUACGCCCUAAGGGGGAAAGUGGGGGAUCUUCGGACCUCACGCUAUUUGAUGAGCCUGCGUAGGAUUAGCUAGUUGGUAGGGUAAAGGCCUACCAAGGCGACGAUCCUUAGCUGGUCUAAGAGGAUGAUCAGCCACACUGGGACUGAGACACGGCCCAGACUCCUACGGGAGGCAGCAGUGGGGAAUAUUGGACAAUGGGGGCAACCCUGAUCCAGCCAUGCCGCGUGUGUGAAGAAGGCCUUCGGGUUGUAAAGCACUUUCAGAGGUGAGGAAAGGUGAGCGGUUAAUACCCGCUUGCUGUGACGUUAGCCUCAGAAGAAGCACCGGCUAACUCCGUGCCAGCAGCCGCGGUAAUACGGAGGGUGCGAGCGUUAAUCGGAAUAACUGGGCGUAAAGCGCGCGUAGGUGGUGAAGUCAGUCAGAUGUGAAAGCCCCGGGCUCAACCUGGGAACUGCACCUGAUACUGCUUGACUAGAGUACGGUAGAGGGCAGUGGAAUUUCCUGUGUAGCGGUGGAAUGCGUAGAUAUAGGAAGGAACACCAGUGGCGAAGGCGACUGCCUGGACUGAU